GACAGAGGGUGCAAACGUUGCUCGGAAUUACUGGGCGUAAAGCGCGUGUAGGCGGUUUCUUAAGUCAGGUGUGAAAGCCCGAGGCUCAACCUCGGAAGUGCACAUGAUACUGGGAAGCUUGAGUACUGAAGAGGAGAGCGGAAUUCUCGGUGUAGAGGUGAAAUUCGUAGAUAUCGGGAGGAACACCAGUGGCGAAGGCGGCUCUCUGGGCAGAUACUGACGCUGAGACGCGAAAGCAUGGGGAGCAAACAGG
rnacentral:rRNA from 1 species